rnacentral:rRNA from 1 species
UACCAGCACCCCGAGUGGUCGGGACGAUUAUUGGGCCUAAAGCAUCCGUAGCCGGCCUUACAAGUCCUCCGUUAAAUCCACCUGCUUAACAGAUGGGCUGCGGAAGAUACUAUAGGGCUAGGAGGCGGGAGAGGCAAGCGGUACUCAGUGGGUAGGGGUAAAAUCCUCUGAUCCAUUGAAGACCACCAGUGGCGAAGGCGGCUUGCCAGAACGCGCUCGACGGUGAGGGAUGAAAGCUGGGGGAGCAAAC